rnacentral:rRNA from 1 species
GACGAACGCUGGCGGCGUGCCUAAUACAUGCAAGUCGAACGCUUCUUUCCUCCCGAGUGCUUGCACUCAAUUGGAAAGAGGAGUGGCGGACGGGUGAGUAACACGUGGGUAACCUACCCAUCAGAGGGGGAUAACACUUGGAAACAGGUGCUAAUACCGCAUAACAGUUUAUGCCGCAUGGCAUAAGAGUGAAAGGCGCUUUCGGGUGUCGCUGAUGGAUGGACCCGCGGUGCAUUAGCUAGUUGGUGAGGUAACGGCUCACCAAGGCCACGAUGCAUAGCCGACCUGAGAGGGUGAUCGGCCACACUGGGACUGAGACACGGCCCAGACUCCUACGGGAGGCAGCAGUAGGGAAUCUUCGGCAAUGGACGAAAGUCUGACCGAGCAACGCCGCGUGAGUGAAGAAGGUUUUCGGAUCGUAAAACUCUGUUGUUAGAGAAGAACAAGGACGUUAGUAACUGAACGUCCCCUGA